rnacentral:rRNA from 1 species
AGUGAACGCUGGCGGUAGGCCUAACACAUGCAAGUCGAACGGCAGCACAGGAGAGCUUGUUCUCUGGGUGGCGAGUGGCGGACGGGUGAGGAAUACAUCGGAAUCUACUCUGUCGUGGGGGAUAACGUAGGGAAACUUACGCUAAUACCGCAUACGACCUACGGGUGAAAGCAGGGGACCUUCGGGCCUUGCGCGAUUGAAUGAGCCGAUGUCGGAUUAGCUAGUUGGCGGGGUAAAGGCCCACCAAGGCGACGAUCCGUAGCUGGUCUGAGAGGAUGAGCAGCCACACUGGAACUGAGAGACGGUCCAGACUCCUACGGGAGGCAGCAGUGGGGAAUAUUGGACAAUGGGCGCAAGCCUGAUCCAGCCAUACCGCGUGGGUGAAGAAGGCCUUCGGGUUGUAAAGCCCUUUUGUUGGGAAAGAAAUCCAGCUGGCUAAUACCCGGUUGGGAUGACGGUACCCAAAGAAUAAGCACCGGCUAACUUCGUGCCAGCAGCCGCCGUGA